rnacentral:rRNA from 1 species
GAUGAACGCUGACAGAAUGCUUAACACAUGCAAGUCAACUUGAACUUCGGUUUGGGGGCGGACGGGUGAGUAACGCGUAAAGAACUUUCCUCACAGAUAGGGACCACAUUUGGAAACGAAUGCUAAUACCUGAUAUUAUGAUUUUUGGGCAUCCUAGGAUUAUGAAAGCUAUAUGCGCUGUGAGAGAGCUUUGCGUCCCAUUAGCUAGUUGGAGAGGUAACGGCUCACCAAGGCGAUGAUGGGUAGCCGGCCUGAGAGGGUGAUCGGCCACAAGGGGACUGAGACACGGCCCUUACUCCUACGGGAGGCAGCAGUGGGGAAUAUUGGACAAUGGACCAAGAGUCUGAUCCAGCAAUUCUGUGUGCACGAUGAAGUUUUUCGGAAUGUAAAGUGCUUUCAGUUGGGAAGAAAAAAAUGACGGUACCAACAGAAGAAGUGACGGCUAAAUACGUG